GUGCCAGCAGCCGCGGUAAUACCGGCAGCCCGAGUGAUGGCCGAUCUUAUUGGGCCUAAAGCGUCCGUAGCUGGCCGACCAAGUCUCCCGGGAAAUCCACCCGCCCAACGGGUGGGCGUCCGGUAGAAACUGGCCAGCUUGGAACUGGAAGGCUCAGAGAGUACGUCCGGGGUAGGAGUGAAAUCCUAUAAUCCUGGACGGACCACCAAUGGGGAAACCACGUCGAGAGACCGGACCCGACAGUGAGGGACGAAAGCCAGGGUCUCGAACCGGAUUAGAAACCCCAGUAGUCC
rnacentral:rRNA from 1 species